rnacentral:tRNA from 1 species
GUGGUUGUGGCUCAGCGGUAGAGUGCUCGCCUUACAUGUGUGAAGCACUGUGUUCAAUCCUCAGAAUCACA